rnacentral:rRNA from 1 species
GAUGAACGCUGGCGGCGUGCCUAAUACAUGCAAGUCGAGCGAACGGACGAGAAGCUUGCUUCUCUGAUGUUAGCGGCGGACGGGUGAGUAACACGUGGAUAACCUACCUAUAAGACUGGGAUAACUUCGGGAAACCGGAGCUAAUACCGGAUAAUAUUUUGAACCGCAUGGUUCAAAAGUGAAAGACGGUCUUGCUGUCACUUAUAGAUGGAUCCGCGCUGCAUUAGCUAGUUGGUAAGGUAACGGCUUACCAAGGCAACGAUGCAUAGCCGACCUGAGAGGGUGAUCGGCCACACUGGAACUGAGACACGGUCCAGACUCCUACGGGAGGCAGCAGUAGGGAACCUUCCGCAAUGGGCGAAAGCCUGACGGAGCAACGCCGCGUGAGUGAUGAAGGUCUUCGGAUCGUAAAACUCUGUUAUUAGGGAAGAACAUAUGCGUAAGUAACUGUGCACAUCUUGACGGUACCUAAUCAGAAAGCCACGGCUAACUACGUG